GACGAACGCUGGCGGCGUGCUUAACACAUGCAAGUCGAACGGAAAGGCCCUGCUUGCGGUGUACUCGUGUUGCGAACGGGCGAGUGACUCAUGGGUGGUCUGCCCUGCUCUUCGGGAUAAGCCUGGGAAACUGGGCCUAAUACCGGCUAGAAGCUAUUUUUAGCGUGAUGGUUGGAAAGUUUUUUUCGGUGUAGGAUGAGCUCGCAGCCUAUCGGCUUGUUGGUGGGGUAAUGGCCUACCAAGGCGCUGACGGGUAGCCGGCCUGAGAGAGUGGACGGCGGCAUUGAGACUGAGGUGCGGCCGAGGCUGCGACGCGAGGCAGCUGGGGGGAAUCUUGCACAAUGGGCGCCGGCCUGAUGCAGCGGCGCCGCGUAGGGGAUGACGCUCUUCGGGGUGUAGACUACUUGCGCUAGGAACGAAGCUUUUUGUGACGGUACCUAGAUAGAAAGCACCGGCUAACUACGUG
rnacentral:rRNA from 1 species